GUUGGGCGUGGUGGCUCAUGCCUGUAAUCCCAGCACUUUGGGAGUCUGAGACAGGAGGAUUGCUUGAGCCCAGGAGUUCAAGGCUGCAGUGAGCUAUGAUUGUGCCACUACACUCCAGCCUGGGCCACAGAGCAAGACCCUGUCUUAA
rfam:Nomascus leucogenys chromosome 11, whole genome shotgun sequence.